CAUUUUUACCUGCUUCUCCCUCUCCUAGCAGACCAGGGCUUCCCAGCCUGAGGUGACUGGUCUCCCAAGGACAUGCGGUGAUGCCUGCAGGUGUUUUUGAUUGAUGCAAAUGGAGGGGUUGCCCCUGACAUCUGGUUGGUAGAAGUCAGGGAUGGUCAACAUCCCGCAAUGCCCAGGAUGGGACCCUCCCGCGACCAAGACUUCGCUGGCACCAAAUGCCAUUAGGGCUGGGGCUGGAAACCCUGCUGUUGUGUAUUAGUUCCAGCUACUAUGACUGCAGUUCUUCUAAUAGCAUCCCUCCCAUUCCCAGUGUAGGAAUUCCAACCCAUCCUCGGCUGGGAAACCAGUUAAUCGAGCUCUACGACUGGUUCUAAGGGUCUAGCAGAAUGCCUGAGACACGGUGAUGCCUAGAGAGGAAUCAGUGAAUACCUACAUGCUUGCCACAUCCGGGGUGUCUGGUGAAGCUACGGUUACUGACAAGUUGACUCAGAACGUGUUGGUCUGCUGCGAUAACUGCCCACCAGUGGAUUCUGUUUUCUGUGUGUGCACGUGUGGGGAGCGGUUCUCACCUAAUCUUAUCCAGGAUGGAUAGAUCCAACGGCUUCUCUGCUGGGCUCAGGAAGUUUCGGUCUGGUUAGUGCUGAUUCCACUCCCCAGCCUACUGUAGAAACUCAUCCCACGCCAGGCACUGGGCUGGUGAGCAGGCAUUGGGAUUUGCAGCACACAUACACAUGUGCUGGCGUGUUUUUCAAGCCGCUGAGGGCC